UUUGGCCCAACCUCCCACCCGUGACUAUUGUACCUUGUUGCUUCGGCGGGCCCGCCAGCGUUGCUGGCCGCCGGGGGGCGACUCGCCCCCGGGCCCGUGCCCGCCGGAGACCCCAACAUGAACCCUGUUCUGAAAGCUUGCAGUCUGAGUGUGAUUCUUUGCAAUCAGUUAAAACUUUCAACAAUGGAUCUCUUGGUUCCGGCAUCGAUGAAGAACGCAGCGAUGCGAUAACUAAUGUGAAUUGCAGAAUUCAGUGAAUCAUCGAGUCUUUGAACGCACAUUGCGCCCCCUGGUAUUCCGGGGGGCAUGCCUGUCCGAGCGUCAUUGCUGCCCUCAAGCCCGGCUUGUGUGUUGGGCCCUCGUCCCCCGGCUCCCGGGGGACGGGCCCGAAAGGCAGCGGCGGCACCGCGUCCGGUCCUCGAGCGUAUGGGGCUUCGUCUUCCGCUCCGUAGGCCCGGCCGGCGCCCGCCGACGCAUUUAUUUGCAACUUGUUUUUUUCCAGGUUGACCUCGGAUCAGGUAGGGAUACCCGCUGAACUUAAGCAUAUCAAUAAGCGGAGG
rnacentral:rRNA from 1 species